GAUCCUUAUAGUUAAGACCGCCGUUUACUUGAGUUUAUGAUACAAGCGUUAACGUGUAUUUUUCGCUUUCAAGCACUGGGCAGGCGUCAAACCUUAUACGUCUUCUUUCGAAUUUGCAAAGUUUUGAGUUUUUGUUAAACAGUCGCUACCCCUAAUUUUUGAAUCCUUUAAGGUACUCCUUGUUGCGAACGUACGGAGCAAAUUUGCCGAGUUCCUUAAGUAUAAGUUUUCUAACGCAGCUCUGUCGCGAUGACACGUUUUAUGAAGAAGAGUCAUAUUUUUUAAUAUAUUUUUACCUCCACUCACCACAGGUAUGAUAUGGUGAAUUUCUAAUUCGUACAAUAUAUCUCCAUAUUGACUAUUUAAAGAUUCUUUACAUAUAGGGCACAUACCUUUUUGUCUUUUUGCCAGCUUUAAUCGAAUAUUAUUCGUUUGCUGAUUAAAACACAUAUUCAAAGAUCUUUUAUUAAAAUACUCCUCAAACUCACCCAAAUAGGAAUUAGCGUCAAGUUUUAUCAUAGUAGUUCUUUUAAUAGGAGUGUCGGAUAUUUGAAACAAAUUAAUUUUCUUAAAUCUUUUAAAUUCAGUGCUAGUAGACAUUAAUCAAUCUCUAUUAUUCACUUUGUGAUAAAAUUUGGAUUUAAGCGCUUUAGCAUUAAGCUUUGGAUGCUUAAUUUUUAUCAUGCGAUGAAUGGAAUCAAAAACGUAUUUACUUAUUCGGGUAUAAGCUAACUUUGCAGUACUAGACGAGUAAUAAUUUGCUCAGCCCCUUAAUAUUGGAUUUAGUUUUGAGAAAAGCAUUCACAGAGGAAGUUGCGAAUGUUCUUUGACACAAAGUUUUAUUUUAGCUUUUACUUUUUGUAAGCUUUCUUUUGUAGGUUUGUAUAGAAAAAUCCCUUUCUUUUCCCCGAUUUCUCGAGUAGAAUCCGAGAUUUUUCUAUACAAACCUACAAAAGAAAGCUUACAAAAAGUAAAAGCUAAAAUAAAACUUUGUGUCAAAGAACAUUCGCAACUUCCUCUGUGAAUGCUUUUCUCAAAACUAAAUCCAAUAUUAAGGGGCUGAGCAAAUUAUUACUCGUCUAGUACUGCAAAGUUAGCUUAUACCCGAAUAAGUAAAUACGUUUUUGAUUCCAUUCAUCGCAUGAUAAAAAUUAAGCAUCCAAAGCUUAAUGCUAAAGCGCUUAAAUCCAAAUUUUAUCACAAAGUGAAUAAUAGAGAUUGAUUAAUGUCUACUAGCACUGAAUUUAAAAGAUUUAAGAAAAUUAAUUUGUUUCAAAUAUCCGACACUCCUAUUAAAAGAACUACUAUGAUAAAACUUGACGCUAAUUCCUAUUUGGGUGAGUUUGAGGAGUAUUUUAAUAAAAGAUCUUUGAAUAUGUGUUUUAAUCAGCAAACGAAUAAUAUUCGAUUAAAGCUGGCAAAAAGACAAAAAGGUAUGUGCCCUAUAUGUAAAGAAUCUUUAAAUAGUCAAUAUGGAGAUAUAUUGUACGAAUUAGAAAUUCACCAUAUCAUACCUGUGGUGAGUGGAGGUAAAAAUAUAUUAAAAAAUAUGACUCUUCUUCAUAAAACGUGUCAUCGCGACAGAUAAAGACGAAUGAGAUAAUUAUACUUAAGGAACUCGGCAAAUUUGCUCCGUACGUUCGCAACAAGGAGUACCUUAAAGGAUUCAAAAAUUAGGGGUAGCGACUGUUUAACAAAAACUCAAAACUUUGCAAAUUCGAAAGAAGACGUAUAAGGUUUGACGCCUGCCCAGUGCUUGAAAGCGAAAAAUACACGUUAACGCUUGUAUCAUAAACUCAAGUAAACGGCGGUCUUAACUAUAAGGAUCCUCAGGUAGCGAAAUUCCUUGGCGGGUAAAUUCCGUCCUGCAUGAAUGGCGUCACGACUACCCCACUGUCUCUAGUAUAAACUCAGCGAAAUUACAUUGUCUGUGAAAAUGCAGACAUCCUACAACAAGACGGAAAGACCCUAUGAUUCUUAACUAUAAUUUUACGUCGCAAUAAUUUUGUGUACAGUACAGUAAAAGUAGGAGUAUACUUAUACAAUUUUGAAAAACUACUCUGUACAUAAGAAAUUGCUUACUGAAGAGAAAAUAUGUAAAAGUGGUAGUUUACUUGGGACGAGGACCUCCUAAACUGUAACGGAGGUGCACAAAAGUAAAUUUUAAUUAGUUUUUUGUAUUAAUAAAAUAUGUAAUGGUAAAAAUUUGCUUGACGGUAAGAGUUACAACUCAAACCGGGACGAAAGUCGGUCAUAAUGAUCCGGCAGUAAUGUAUGGAAAUACUGUCGCUUAUCGGAAAAAAGAAACUCUAGGGAUAACAGAUUUAUCAUGGCUGAGAGUUCUUAUCGACGCCAUGGUUUGAUACCUCGAUGUCGGCUCAUCUUUUCCUGGAGCUGUAACAGGUUCCAAGGGUAUGGUUGUUCGCCAAAUAAUAAGAUACGUGAGCUGGGUUCAGAACGUCGUGAGACAGUUCGGUCCCUAUCUGUUGUGGGUAAGAAAAUGUACUUCUCGUAAAUAGCUAAUCUCCACUUUAGGGAUUAAACUAAUAUUACAGGUAGGAAGCUAGUUCAUACAGAUCUAGUGGGCCUAUGCAUUACUCCUAAUGCUGAUCAAUGAGCUGUGUUACAAGCAGUGAACCCUAUGCAACGUGAAAAUAGUCAUUCACGGAGUAUAAGCAGGGCAUAAAUUUAAGUGGAUGUUACUUAUAAACAUUUUAACUCGAAGAGAAUAUAUAAAUCAGUAAAUCUGUC
rnacentral:rRNA from 1 species